UCUCUGCCCCCAAAGUUACGUCUUUUGGUAUAGCGCCCUCUCGUGUUGCGCUAGUGCUCUUCGCCAAUAAGUUUUCUGUAGAAUUCGGUUUUCGUCAAACCACUCAGUAGAAAGUGCCUCUUUUUCACCUUGAAGGCCGUUUAUGACCUGUAGUUACCUUGAAGUCUAUCUAGUGGUUGAAGAUGACGAGAAGAGUAGUGUUUUGAGCAGAGGUUUAUAUUGUUGAGGACAUCUUGAGCCCGAAGAGAGAACAAUUCUUUUUACCGUUUUGUGGUACACUACACAUUGGUUAUCUGUUUGGAGUAGAGGGCGCCCCGGCUCCCCAAGUC